UACAGAGGUCUCGAGCGUUAGGCGGAAUCACUGGGCUUAAAGCGUGUGUAGGUGGAUGCCUAAGUACCUUGUGAAAUCCCACAGCUUAACUGUGGAACUGCUUGGUAUACUGGGUGUCUUGAGUCACUCAGGGGCGAGCGGAACAAAUGGUGGAGCGGUGAAAUGCGUAGAUAUCAUUUGGAACGCCAAUGGUGAAAACAGCUCGCUGGGGGUGCACUGACACUGAGACACGAAAGCCAGGGGAGGCGAACGGG
rnacentral:rRNA from 1 species